UACGAAGGGGGCUGCGUUGCUCGGAAUCACUGGGCGUAAAGGGCGCGUAGGCGGCCUGAUCAGUCGGGGGUGAAAGCGCGGGGCUCAACCCUGCGUCGGCCAUGAAUACUGCCGCGGCUGGAGCACUGUAGAGGCAGGCGGAAUUCCGGGUGUAGCGGUGGAAUGCGUAGAGAUCCGGAAGAACACCGGUGGCGAAGGCGGCCUGCUGGGCAGUUGCUGACACUGAGGCGCGACGAGCGUGGGGAGCAAACAGG
rnacentral:rRNA from 1 species